rnacentral:rRNA from 1 species
AGUGAACGCUGGCGGUAGGCCUAACACAUGCAAGUCGAACGGCAGCACAGUAAGAGCUUGCUCUUACGGGUGGCGAGUGGCGGACGGGUGAGGAAUACAUAGGAAUCUACUUUUUCGUGGGGGAUAACGUAGGGAAACGUACGCUAAUACAGCAUACGACAUACGGGUGAAAGCAGGGGAUCUUCGGACCUUGCGCGUUUGAAUGAGCCGAUGUCGGAUUAGCUAGUUGGCGGGGUAAAGGCACACCAAGGCGACGAUACGUAGCUGGUCUGAGAGGAUGAUCGGCCACACUGGAACUGAGACACGGUCCAGACUCCUACGGGAGGCAGCAGUGGGGAAUAUUGCACAAUGGGCGCAAGCCUGAUCCAGCCAUACCGCGUGAGUGAAGAAGGCCUUCGGAUUGUAAAGCCCUGUUGUUAGGAAAGAAAAGCAGCAGGUUAAUACCCCGCUAUUCUGACGGUACCCAAAGAGUAAGCACCGGCUAACUUCGUG